GACGAACCUUGCUAACGUUAUUCGGAAUUACUGGGCUUAAAGGGUGCGUAGGCGGUGCAGAAAGUUGGGUGUGAAAUCCCUCGGCUCAACCGAGGAAUUGCGCCCAAAACUGUUGCACUAGAGGAAGACAGAGGUACGCGGAACUUAGGGUGGAGCGGUGAAAUGCGUUGAUAUCCUAAGGAACACCGGUGGCGAAAGCGGCUUCCUGGUCCAGAACCGACGUUCAGGCACGAAAGCGUGGGGAGCAAACAGG
rnacentral:rRNA from 1 species